UACGGGGGGAGCAAGCGUUGUUCGGAUUUACUGGGCGUAAAGGGCGCGUAGGCGGCCACCGCAAGUCGACUGUGAAAUCUCCGGGCUUAACUCGGAAAGGUCAGCCGAUACUGGCGGGCUAGAGUGCAGAAGGGGCAACUGGAAUUCUCGGUGUAGCGGUGAAAUGCGUAGAUAUCGAGAGGAACACCUGCGGCGAAGGCGGGUUGCUGGGCUGACACUGACGCUGACAGCGCGAAAGCUAGGGGAGCGAACGGG
rnacentral:rRNA from 1 species